rnacentral:RNase_P_RNA from 1 species
AAUAGAAGGUAACCGAGCCACUAGUUGGUUAGGAAAGUCCAUGCUAGCACAUGCUGUGAUGCAUGUAGUGAUUGUGCUUAAGGAAACAAUAACUUAAGGUACCAUUGGUAACGGCGGCUCUUAUGCUAAGGCUUUGCUAGGCAUAACCCUUAAAGUGCCACAGAGACGAGUUAGAAGGAAACUUCUAAGUGAAACGGGUAAACCCCACAAGCUAGAAACCCAAAUUAUGGUAGGGGCACUUCUUUAAAAAUAAUUAAGAAUUUUAAAAGAAGCUAGAGAAUCUAGAGAUAAAUGGUUACGACUCUUAAAGAGAUACAGAACAUGGCUUAUGCAU